CAGUCGCCACGGUAAUACGAAGGGGGCUAGCGUUGCUCGGAAUUACUGGGCGUAAAGGGAGCGUAGGCGGAUCGUUUAGUCAGGGGUGAAAUCCCGGGGCUCAACCUCGGAACUGCCUUUGAUACUGGCGAUCUUGAGUAUGGGAGAGGUGUGUGGAACUCCGAGUGUAGAGGUGAAAUUCGUAGAUAUUCGGAAGAACACCAGUGGCGAAGGCGACACACUGGCCCAUUACUGACGCUGAGGCUCGAAAGCGUGGGGAGCAAACGGGAUUAGAUACCCCCGUAGUCCCUGUCUCUUAUAC
rnacentral:rRNA from 1 species